UGGGGAAUUUUGGACAAUGGGCGAAAGCCUGAUCCAGCAAUGCCGCGUGUGUGAAGAAGGCCUUCGGGUUGUAAAGCACUUUUGUCCGGAAAGAAAUCCUUGGCUCUAAUACAGUCGGGGGGAUGACGGUACCGGAAGAAUAAGCACCGGCUAACUACGUGCCAGCAGCCGCGGUAAUACGUAGGGUGCAAGCGUUAAUCGGAAUUACUGGGCGUAAAGCGUGCGCAGGCGGUUUGCUAAGACCGAUGUGAAAUCCCCGGGCUCAACCUGGGAACUGCAUUGGUGACUGGCAGGCUAGAGUAUGGCAGAGGGGGGUAAAUUCCACGUGUAGCAGUGAAAUGCGUAGAGAUGUGGAGGAAUACCGAUGGCGAAGGCAGCCCCCUGGGCCAAUACUGACGCUCAUGCACGAAAGCGUGGGGAGCAAACAGGAUUAGAUACCCUGGUAGUCCACGCCCUAAACGAUGUCAACUAGUUGUUGGGGAUUCAUUUCCUUAGUAACGUAGCUAACGCGUGAAGUUGACCGCCUGGGGAGUACGGUCG
rnacentral:rRNA from 1 species